rnacentral:lncRNA from 1 species
CGUUGAUAUGACCUAACCCCCUUAAUUUCGGAGUGAGUCCUACUAAUUUUUAUAAUUAUCUAUCUAUAAACUACUAUUAAUCCCCAUGGCCUUAUAUUGAUGUGGUCUAACAUCCUUAAUUUCGUGGUGUGGGUCCCACUAAUUUUUUUAUUAUUAAUCUAUAAAGUACUAUUAAUUUUCAUGGCCUUAUGUUGAUGUGGUCUAACCAUCUUAAUUUCGUGGUAUGGGUCCCAUUAUUUUUUAUAAUUAUUUAAAAAAAAAAUCUAUAAACUACUAUUAAUCCAAAUGGCCUUAUAUUGAUGUGGCCUAACCCCCUUAAUUUCGUGGUGUGGGUCCCACUAAUUUUUUUAUUAUUAAUCUAUAAAGUACUAUUAAUUUUCAUGGCCUUAUGUUGAUGUGGUCUAACCCUCUUAAUUUUCUGGUGUGGUCCCAUUAUUUUUUAUAAUUAUUUUAAAAAAAUUAAACUACUAUUAAUCCCAAUCUAUAAUCUAUUAAUUACUAUUAAUCCUCAU